rnacentral:pre_miRNA from 1 species
AGUGGGAUAGCUGGUUCAAAUGGUUGUUCCAUUCCCAGUUUUCUAAAGAAUCUCCAUACUGCUUUCCAGAUAGUUUGCACCAAUUUGCAGUACCACCAGCAAU